rnacentral:rRNA from 1 species
GAUGAACGCUGGCGGCGUGCCUAAUACAUGCAAGUCGAACGAGGUGCUUUUGUAGCAAUACGAGAGUAUCCUAGUGGCGAACGGGUGAGUAACGCGUUGGUGACCUACCCCAAAGUGUGGGAUAACAGUCCGAAAGGAUUGCUAAUACCGCAUGUGGUCUUCGGAUUUAGAAACUGAUGACUAAAGGAGCAAUUCGCUUUGGGAGGGACCUGCGUCCCAUCAGCUAGUUGGUGAGGUAAUGGCUCACCAAGGCUACGACGGGUAGGGGACCUGAGAGGGUGACCCCCCCACAAUGGAACUGAAACACGGUCCAUACACCUACGGGUGGCAGCAGUAGGGAAUAUUGCACAAUGGGCGAAAGCCUGAUCCAGCAAUGCCGCGUGAGUGAAGAA